rnacentral:rRNA from 1 species
AUACGGAGGGAGCAAGCGUUAUUCGGAAUCACUGGGCGUAAAGGACGCGUAGGCGGGUUUGUAAGUCAGGUGUGAAAUCCUACAGUUCAACUGUAGAACUGCACUUGAAACUACAGACCUAGAGUAUGGAAGGGGCAGAUGGAAUUAGUGGUGUAGGGGUAAAAUCCGUAGAUAUCACUAGGAAUACCGAAAGCGAAGGCGAUCUGCUGGGACAUUACUGACGCUGAGGCGUGAAAGCGUGGGGAGCAAACAGGAUUAGAAACCCCUGUAGUCC